CUUGUGUGGUUGCUCUGCUUGACUUCUUCCUCGUUGUGGGUGCUCAACAGGAGAAUCACGAGCAGCCGGUGCAACCGAGCGUCCGCCUGCUCUCAGCUUGGCUUCAGGUAUACAAUCACCCUUCUCUUCUUCCUGAUAUUUUCCUCUCCCUUUCUUCCAGUCCCCUACUCCCGCAGCUUCACAUCUUUGUUUGUGCAGGUUUGGUUCUCUUUGCCUACAAGGUGUUUGAUGAAAAUCCAAAAAGGCUGACAUGGGAGGAUUAAUCUAUGUAUGUCAUGUGAUUUCAUUCUUCUGUAAUUUAGUUCCAGUCAAAGAUAACAAGUUGAGUAGUCCGGCUAGCUUUUUGCGAUUUAGGUAUUGAAGGAGAUCAUUAUAUUUUACUUUUAUUUGCCUCAUGGAUUCUUAUUUAUAUUUAGGGCAUAACUUUAUUGUACAACAAUGACAGUGGGGAAGAUUAUCUCAUUUCUUUUGGAGGAUUUGGUUUAGUAGGCCAUUACGCAUGUUGGAAUGAGUAGCAAGUACAGAUACAAAAAUCUGAAGCUCCUACCAGAUAGGUCGAGUUAAAUGCUUUCUAAAUGCAAAUGAUCUCAUGAAAAAGGCAAUAUGUAAUCAUUUGUAUUGGUUCAGAUUAUUCAGAGUGGGUUACUGCUAAAGCAGAGGAUGGGUAGUCAAUAUUUACUUCUGUAUGUAAAUCCAUUUGCCUGUCAUUAUGUACAGUUACUGCUAAAUUGGAGGACAGGCAGUCAUUAUUUACUUAUUCAAAUGGAAAUCUAUUUGCCUGUUAUUAUGUGUAGGCAUAAAGUUCGAUCUUGGAUGCUUGGCAAAGCCUUACUAUGUUGUUUUCCUCUGUCACAGACUCCCAGAAACUAUAUGAUCCAUUACUAUGAGAAUAUUUGGCUAGCUCGUGGCUAUUGUUUGCGGAAUAAAGUCUUAUUGCUGUAAUAAAAAAGCCAUACUAUGUUGUUGUUCCAUUAUUCCAUUUUAAUGUGCUUGCCUUUUUUGGACUAGAUGUUGGACUACAGUGUACUGGGAGGUGAGGAGAUGAGUUUGAAGUACAUGUUUUCUUUCUAGGUAUACAAGAAGCUAAUGAGUUUGAACUUCAAUUUGUGAUCUACUUUACAAGAAAAAGUUUUCCCUCAUGAGUACAAAAUUUCUAUUUGUAGGAGCUUCAGAAGGGUUGCUCACCAACGGACUGUAAGAUUUCCUGGGUACUUGCAUAAUUUAGGAAGAAACUAAAUGCGCUAUUGCAGAUCAAAGGUGAGCUCAUCCUAUUUUCUUUCUUCAGUCUUAGCUGAAGAUUUAUCUCCGGUUUCCUUGCAUUUUGUCAUGCUGGUUCUUUGUGUAGAUGUGCCAGCUAGCUUACAAACCGUAUCAUCAUCUUUGUCUUUGAGUAGAACUAAACUGGGGAUUUGCUAUUUGCAUCUGAAGUGUCCUUUGAUGUCCUUUACUCUAUAGAAUUAUUGCCCUGAAACUGAUGAAAGGACUUUUGGAGAUAAAAUUAUUGAUUGUUAGGGCCUCGGUUUAUUAACUAUUCUAUAUUUUUAGAAACUGGAAGAGAAAUCAUAUGUUGUUUCUUCUUUGUGAUGAAACAGAUCAUGUGUAUGGUUUCGACUAAGACUGUAGUUUGAUCAUACAAGGCUUUAUGGAUUGUUGAUUCUAUUUCCAUGGUUUGAUCUAUCCGAGGUGUAGCCAAGAUCAGGUGAGAGGACAAUGUUUCAUUUGUUUCGACAGAAAACCCUAGACUUCAGCUCAAAGCCUGCCCCUAGCCCAGUGUUAAAAAAUUCAGUCAACCCGUAGCUAAAGUUGGAACCACGUAGAGCAGUGGCUACUCCGGAAACUCCUGUUCUGAUCACUUCCAGGUAAUUGGUUAGGAUUCAUAUGGUCUCUUUCCAGCUAUGACAGGUGGUAUACCGCAUACUGAUGAGGAUAGAUGAUUUAUGUUGCUGUACUAUUUUAGAUAGUGAUACUGAAGUGUUAUUCUACAGAUAGCUUUCGGUUGUUCUUUUGCAUUUUUCCUCUGCAAACAUAUAUAUUAAUGGACAAACAGUGCGUACAUGUUAGCCUUUUGUCCGCGAUAGCCGUAUUAGCAUGCCUAGCUGCCAAGUAUAAAUAGUAUGUGCGUCACUCAGAAAUAUAGCAUCCCGGUGGAAUAUGGAUGAUGUAAGAAUUGGGAAAUUGCUCUCAUAUUUGAUUUAUUGAUCUCCUAGAGUGUAGAGUGAAUCAUAUAUGUACUAGAGGUGCUAAUUCUGCUGCCUCCGUGGUCAAGUCCUCCCUUUCUUUAGGCUAGGCAGAGGUCUUAACUAUUGCAGUUUGUAUGUUCUGCAGUGGUCAAGUCCUCCCAUUUUUCGGGCUGGGAGGUCUUAGCUCUCGCAGUUUGUAUGAUCUGCAGCAUCCAUNNNNNNNNNNNNNNNNNNNNNNNNNNNNNNNNNNNNNNNNNNNNNNNNNNNNNNNNNNNNNNNNNNNNNNNNNNNNNNNNNNNNNNNNNNNNNNNNNNNNNNNNNNNNNNNNNNNNNNNNNNNNNNNNNNNNNNNNNNNNNNNNNNNNNNNNNNNNNNNNNNNNNNNNNNNNNNNNNNNNNNNNNNNNNNNNNNNNNNNNNNNNNNNNNNNNNNNNNNNNNNNNNNNNNNNNNNNNNNNNNNNNNNNNNNNNNNNCGGGCUAGGUAGAACCGCAGAAGUUUUAAGUGCACGUACCUAUGUGCCAUUGCACCUAUAAGCCUCGGUAAAAUAUGUCCAAAUCUAACAAAUAUUGCAGUUUAACCUCACCAUAAUACUAAUUAACAACGACUGUGAACUUCAAGGCAGACUUAUUACUACAGUUUUGGUACGCCAGAGAUUUUUUGUUGUGAUCUUUGCUUGGAAAGGGGAGAAGACCUACAUAUUAAAGACUCAGGACAAGGGCUGAUCUGCUGUGUUUCUAUGAUUAUGGAUUUCUAAAAUUCAUUUACCUAACAAUGGAACUAUGCAGUGCGAUCUUCUGUAGUUUACUAAACCUUACCAGCCCCCUUCGAGACGAUGUUCUGUCUCUUACAUUAAAAUCUAACAUAUAGUAAAAUGAGAAAAUUCCUGCCCCAAAACAAAAAAGUUUUGUUUGUAAAUUGCUACUUAUCAGGAUGACCAAUGAUGUACCUUUAAUUAUUCAUUUGUGCUAUGCACACAUGCACGCUGGGCCCUGGAACAUAAUUCUAUCUUUUAUGUACAAAAGAGAUCGCACCAAUAAUGCUCUAAAGGAGUACGAUUGGUAGCCGACUAACUUAUAUAAUACACACACAUUACUUUGUUUUUCUAAUGAGUGUAUGUGGAUGCAUAAAAAUAGUUGAGGAGCAAUUGCUAUUCUCUAUUUCUUUAGUGAGUAGUAUAUAUCAUUUUUGCCUACCUCUUGCCUAUUUUGAAUCGAUAGAUGGUAUGCUUUGGAGAGGGAUUAGAUAAGGCCUAUGAGUGAUGAGUCGUAAGCGUGAUAAGCAAGCCCUGCACUGCUAUUUACUAUUAACCGCCAACUGAAUUUCUGAUAAUGGUGUUUCAGGAAUAAUACACUCAAUCCAACUACUACCUUUGGUGUGCUUUUUGGAUGGACUAAUCUGAAGAUGCUGGCUAGCUUGCACCACCAUCAUAUAGUCUAGAAGCAAGGGCAAGGAUUAUAGGGAAAAUAAAGGUACAUUGCUCCCAAUAUAUUUUACUUUCUUGGUGAAGUUUAGUGCUUGCACAUGAAAGUAACACAUCAUUAUGACUACUACUGUCUUCUUUCAGGCAAUUCGCCGUCCGGAGGAAAUGCAUUUUUGUUACUCCCUCUGUUUGAACUGUUGUAGUAGGACUCAGACUUUCAAAGUUAUUAGGCAUGUGGACAUGUUUUUAUUUUAGUUUGUACAGUUUUGUGAUCUUUUGGCUUUAGGUUGGUGCUGCACAGAAAGUGCAGUAAACUCAGGUGAUGCAUGAAAAAAACUGCAGACCUAGCAUAGUUUUUGUAUUUGGAUUUUGUAAUUGUGUGAUGCCCUUAUGUUCAAAUGCUUGUUCUCCAAGUAGGCCCACAACGGCUGCUAGCAAUGAUACAUACUCUCUCCGUCCCAAAAUAAAUGUCUUAACCUUAGUAUAACUUUAUACUAAAGUUAAUACAAAGUUGAGACACUUAUUUUAGAACGGAGGGAGUAUGUAUCAACAAUUCUAAGGAAGUGCAUAUGUCAGGAUGCAUAGCAUUUAUAAUAUAACUAGAGGAGAUCCAGGAAGAGAUGAACUCAAAAUCAUUCAUGAUUUAAUUGGAAAAUAUUCUUUAGGAAAAGGCAAUCACUCAACCAAGUAUUUUAUACUACGUACAAUAUAACCAGCUGGAUAAUUGGAGCAGUCUCAGCCACUAAUUAGUGCUACUAAUUAUCAACACUGCCCACCAGACUUCUGCUAUUAGCAUAGUAGCAACCACUGUAGCUCACAAAACAGUCUACAGAUUCAUCGAACGCCGAAGGAAGUUAGUUUUUACCUGAGCAGAAAAGGUGGCCGUAAUGGUGAUGUACGCCAUCUUGAUGUGCGCCUAUACGACCUCCUGCGACAUCACGGCGAAGCGGCGCUUCACCCAGCCGGUCGGACGCCCUGCAGUUCCCCGCCUUCUCCCAGGGAUCUGCUGGAGGGGAACGACGGCACGCGAAAGCAGCUGCUAUAGCCUUGGCCGGGGCUUGGGCGCGUUGGACUCUGCUAGCGCUGGUCGCGGCUGCUCCCUCACAUCGCUGGCCACCCCUCACGGCGGACCUCACCUUGUGGAAUCCUCUCUCAUGGAGCUCACUUCAGUGAAAUAAUGGAACCUAGAAGUGUCCGCCGGAUGAGGCAAGAGAAAGCAAUUCUUUAGUAUUAAAUUACAAAACAAAAUAAAAAUGUGCUAUUAGGUGGUGGGGGUCCAAGAGGACAGGUGUUUCUCAGCGACUGCCCUACACGACAGAAUUACAAAUUUGCCACUGGGGCAGUAGAGUCAUUUCACAUGGUCAAAGUAGGGAUAAGAAUAAAAAAUGAUUAUAAUAAUAACAAAGGGCAUAUUAUCUAUAGGAAAAGAAAAGGCAGGGCAAAUCAUCUAACCCAACGUAAAGAGGGGCGAACCAUAAGUGCCUAAAUAAAGCGGGGCGAAUCAUCCAGUCUCCCGUAUUUCUCAGGCCGUCACAACCGACACGCAUGCAGGGCGGAGCAGCACGCCGAGUAGACAGAAGGGCGAGACAGAUGACCAAAACAACAGUGACGCAGAUCACAUGAACGGCGAAGCAGCGCCACAGAACCAACAUGGACUGCCGGAACAUCACGAUGGUGGAGUCCUCCGACCAUACCAAGGAACCAAUACAGAGCUACGUCGAGUCGCUAACCCGUUGAGAGGACACGCACACACCCGACACCCGGGCUUGGACCACAAGGCAAACGCAUGUCGGAGCGCUCCCAGCCAAAAACAAAUCUAUUCCCAAGGAGUUUUUCUUUUUUUGAGGGUCUAUAUUCUCAGGGACAUUUUUUCUGCAGAAACAAGUAUGACGGCAAAAUCGAUAUAUGCCGCCAAUUGAACGAGGGAGUUCCUAUCUAGGAGUUUUUUCUUGAAAAUGGGAUAUAUUAUAAAAGUUCACCGAAAGUACAAAACAUCACAAACAUAAUAAAAACUACAUCAAGUACCGAGACCACAGAACGACCAAUGUUGCCGCUAGAACGAGACGCCGACACGCCGCACUCGCUGCUCCUUUACCAGAGCCAGCUUGACAUUGUCGAUGACAGACAUGAAGUCUUCAUGCACGUGCCUUAAGGACCAACGCUUUGGAGUCGUAGUCGUCAUCGUUGAACCAUUUCAAAGAUCUAAAGCACCUGCACCAAACCUUGCCACAUGACGAGAAACCUUAACCUAGGAAGGUCCGCCGGUCAUCUACCUGUGAAGUCAGCCUAAACGUCUAGAAUGGAUGUCCGGUUGACCGAAUGCCAGCGCCAAAAAACGUGCUAUGAUAAAAACAUCAAACGACCCUCAAGUAGCUGCGCGCCGAAGUGUGCUGGUUAGGCGGGUAGCCUAGCAAGGUUUAUAGGAGAGAUGUGGCAGUUGUGUGCAGGUUUUCCAACCACAAGUUUGUUGUAUUGCCUUAUUCAAAGUGGGUACUUUUUUAAUGCCUUAUUUUGUAUUUCAUUUAGUUCAACAGUAUGCAGAGGCCGGGGGUUAUCCUCCUUUUCUAAAUUUUUUAGUUCAACAGUGAAUAAUAGUAGCCUAUUUUUUUGGAUCUUUGACAAGUUACAUUAGCAUCGUCUAAAGGUUUGUGUGUGCUCUCAUUUCUUAUUUUCUGUAAAUUGGACAACCAAGAUAUAUUUAGUGCAGUAAUGGGCUUACGAUGAAGUAUGGCCGGUAGUAAUAUUUAUCGCCUCUGUAUCUAUGAUUAAUCAUAAAACAAUUAAUUCGGUGUCUAUAUGAAGUGUCUACUUCAUGUAUCAUCAUAUUUGUUUUCCAUGGAAGAUCAGCUUUAUAGAUUACCCCAGUCUAAUUACAAUAGUAUAUGAAAACAUGGUCAGAAAUAUAUGAGACAACAACAAACCAAGGUUGCUUAUGCUUUAGGGCCAACUUAUCCCUCAUGCACCAUUUUUCUAUUGCCUUUUCAACACAUUAUACAGAACCUUGUCUGCACUGGCGGAGCUUCAGCAAGGCUGAAUGGCCAUGGCCCGCCCAGCCCAUUGAAUUUUAUACACUAUAUAUCUAAUUCUGGGCCUUAAAACAGUAGCCCAUAUGCUAUUUUUUCUAUUCGGCCCGCCCACCUUUGGGCUGCAAGCUCCGCCACUGCUUACCUGAUACUCCCUCCGUAAAGAAAUAUAAGAGGGUUUAGAUCACUAAAGUAGUGUUCUAAACGCUCUUAUAUUUCUUUACAAAGGGAGUACCAAACAAUCUUAAUCAGAUCCAUGUAUCAACGCGGCCAAGAAAGCUCGGCCACAACCAAUCACAAGAAGGCUCUACAUGAUGUAGGUAGAUAUGUAUUUUGCUUUAUAGAGCCAAUGUAAACAAGCAAUCGUGAACUACCUUCAAAACUUCCUUUUGGUGUGGGUUAAUUUUGUUGGUCUAUCAUGCUCCGGUGAAAAGCAAUAUAAACCACCACUAUAAAGAUACCAUUCAAGUAUCUUCUUUGAAAUCAUUAUUACUCGCAAAUAUAAUGGUUUCCGUACAUUGUUUGAGUUAGCCUCUUGCGCCAUGGGCGCAACGGGUCAUCUAGUAGCAUUCAUGGAUCAGCUACAACAACCAUGGCAAAAUUGAUUCACAUGUAAACAAUCUGCCAAGAACAUUUUAUAGCAAGAGUACAACAAGAUUAAGGCAUGCUAGGGCACUCCAUAAUUUCAAACAGGGGCAUGGACGGAUAGAGCACAACCAUAUGUCCAAAACAUCCUUACUGAAGCAACUCAAAAUAAGCAUGGAGCUCACUUUAGCGUCAUGUUUACAAGGCAUAAAAAUAACAGCAGAGAAAAGACUUAGUAAAAUCCUAAGUCCCUGGAAUCAGCAAUAUCACGAAUGCUACUUUGCAUGCUUGUGCUAGUCACCACAAUGAUCACAAAAAUACAUGUCAAGCACCCCUGUAAAGAUGGCAUGGCAUAGAUCAAAAUACAUGUGGAUCUCAUGCCCAUAUGCAGCACACAACAAAUGUAGCAAAAAUAACAAAUCCUCACACUCUGAUAAGAAUCAGCACCUAACAAUUUAUAGCACUCUUGCAUCAGUGAUUUGGGCAUCAAGAUGGACUCAAACAAGCAUGGCACAAAGGAAUGAAAUGAAGAGCAUAUCAUGAUGAACAUUUUGAUAUAUCAUGCGCAUGAAACAGAGCUAUGGAUGAGAAGUUAUGAAAUGAAGAAUAGAUGCAUAAAAUGUUCCAGAAUAAGGGACUUAGUGGGAAAAGAGGGGGUGUAGACCUCAGAUCUAGGGUUCGGGCGCGGUCCACGAGGUUUGCCGGAGAAGUGUGUUGCGGUGGCCGGAGAAGAGGGAACUGCCGGAUCCGAGGCGGAGGAGCUCGCCGGAGUCGCUAGGGUGGCGGAUCCACGGGCCGGAGGAGGUGGUGCGCCGGGCGGAUCAAGGCGCGGGCGGCGCCGCGACGGGUCUGGUCGGUGGGCGGCGGCCAGAGCGAAGAGGGACGGCNNNNNNNNNNNNNNNNNNNNNNNNNNNNNNNNNNNNNNNNNNNNNNNNNNNNNNNNNNNNNNNNNNNNNNNNNNNNNNNNNNNNNNNNNNNNNNNNNNNNNNNNNNNNNNNNNNNNNNNNNNNNNNNNNNNNNNNNNNNNNNNNNNNNNNNNNNNNNNNNNNNNNNNNNNNNNNNNNNNNNNNNNNNNNNNNNNNNNNNNNNNNNNNNNNNNNNNNNNNNNNNNNNNNNNNNNNNNNNNNNNNNNNNNNNNNNNNNNNNNNNNNNNNNNNNNNNNNNNNNNNNNNNNNNNNNNNNNNNNNNNNNNNNNNNNNNNNNNNNNNNNNNNNNNNNNNNNNCCUGGGCCCCGGCAGGCCGGCGCGCGGGCGACGCAGGUAAAGUGGGUGCGGCGUCUCAACGAACCAGGAGGAGACACGUGGCUGCGGCGAGGGUGGCGGACAUGUCCGUCGGUGGGGAUUUUGUCCGCCGGCGGAGAGGGGAAUUGCUAGGGUUUCAUCCAGGAUUUUUGGACGGGGAGGACAUAUUUAUAGGUAGGAGGAGUUUGGAGUGUCCAAAUGGGGUGUAGUUUUCGACCAUGCGAUCGUGAUCCGAUGGCGGAGGACAUGGAAGUGGUUUGGAAGGGUUAUUGGGCCGUUUUGGAGGGGUGUUGGGCUGCAACACACACGAGGCCUUUACGGUUCCCCGGUUAACCGUUGGAGUAUCAAACAGACUCCAAAUGGCACGAAAUUUAGCAGGCGGUCUACCGGUGGUGUACCAAGGCCGCUUGGCAAAUUUCGGUCCAUUCCGAGAAAGUUUAACACCCGCUCAUGAAAAGCGGAAAAGGGGAACGUCGAUGCACGUAGGAGUGUCGGAUUGCAAAACGGACAACGGGGAAAAUGCUCGGAUGCAUGAGACGAACACGUAUGCAAAAGCGAUGCACAUGAUGACAUGAUAUGAAAUGCAUGACAUGGACAAAAUGCAAAACGAAGAAAAAACCCAACCAUAAAGGGAAUCUCAUAACUUAAAGCCGAAAUGACAAGAGUCGGAGUACAAAUAUGGCAAAUUACAUCCGGGGCAUUACAGAUGUGUGGACCAAAGUUGGCUGCACAAACUGCUGAAGCGGUGCCAAAUAAUUUUCUAAUGGCACCGCUGAUGAGAUGGCAACAAUUUAAGAUACUAGGUACAAAUUGUGACACUGUCUUAGGAUGUGUUUGGUUGAAGGUGUGGUAUGAAUGCGUUGGGACCAUGACAGUGUGUGAAUCACAUUUAACAAAUGAUUUGUAACAACAAAAGAGGGUCUAACCUUCUCUGCACAUGCCAAAAACUUCCUCCCACUGUCCACAGAUUCAAACACAACUAGCUUCACGCAUGGAGAUUGAUGGUGACAACGAGCAGAUAGAUCUUCAGCCACCCCGCUCCAUUCGUUGCCACUGAUGGUCCUAGGGAGCUACAAGAGGAAGAAAUUACUCAAAUUGACCACCGGGUAAAAAUCCUUCAUUCCAAGUCAUAGCCCGAGGGAGAGAAGAGAGGCAUACCCGGGUGGUGAAGGAGUCAUCGCCGGAGGAGGAACCGCUGGAGAGGUCUUUGAAGAAGACCAUGGCGACCCCGGUGGUAGGAUGCGAGACGACGAGAGCGAGGAAGUGUCUAUAGCUUAGGAAGGAAGGAAGGAAGGAAGGAAGGAAGGAGGAAACAGGGGAAAUGUGACUUGUGGUCGGGGAGAAAAUGGGGUGGGAAGGGGGGAGGGGGUAGAUAUUUUGGCGGUAGGCCAAAAUUUUGGAAAUGUGGAGGGAAACUUUGCGCGCGGUGCCAUCGGACCAUUCACUUUGAACGAUUGUGUGCAUCGCAAACGAUUCUUCUGUUUACGCGCAUGGGAUGGGUUUGAUAAUUCAAAUUUUGGUGGAAAUUUCCUUGGGUACGUCAUUGCAUAAUUUAACAUCGCUUGCUAAUUUGGGCACACAAAAGAGCGUACAGCAAACAGAACACACUUACUGAAUUGAGCAAUUUUAGUAAUUAAACAGAGCUAGUUGACCUAAACAUUGCUCUAACAAAAGACCAACAUUAAAAACAAAGCCUAAGUACGCAUAAUUUUAACAAAUCCGCCACCGCGCCAGCCUAUGCAUCGCCGGUGUGAGAUGAGACGUUGAUGACUUGUCCUGGCGACAUGCCACCGUUGGUGGACUCCGCGCCCCCUGCUGAAGUGGACCACGUCUUCAUCCUCGUCCUCGUCCUCGUCCUCGGCGCCGCCCUCAAGGUUGUAGUACUCGUAGUAGUGGCUGCGCCAGAGCUCACGUUGGUACUCCACCGCCGAUUCCUCGACGGAUAGACUCUUCUCUACCUCCACCUCGGCUACGCGCAACUCCUCCUCCCGCCACUCCACAAUCUCCGCUGCCUUCUGCAUCUCCAGCUCCCGCUCGGUGACCUCAUGAUGAAGCAGGUGCUCAAUGGCCACCGCCGCCUUUUCGGACAUGGGUUGCAUGAUGGAGUCUGAGGUGGCCAGGAAUAUCUUGGCGUGUGCAUCCUCGAUCUUGGCGUGGAUGGCCUCGACCCAGGCCAGGGCGACAUCGGCGGCAUAGACGGCAGCUCGAGCGCUCUUUGCGUUUGCCGCCGCCGUUGUAGUAGCAGCUGCAGCCGUCUUGGCUGCUGCAUCUGCCCUAUCGGCAAAUUUGAACUACAUCUACAUGCAACACCUAACCAUAACGGUUUGAAAAAUCGUAUUUUUGUGUACUUGUGUGCGAGUUAAAAAAUCAUCAGAUGAUGUAAAUAUCUGGUGUUCAAAAAGAAAAAUGUAAAGAUCUGGCAAGACAACUGGCCCCCACAUGAUUGGCACUCUAUCUCGCGGCUCGAGGUUUGGUAGGUGAGUGGCGGGGAUCAUUAAUCAGACACGGUUCUGUAUUGGAAACCGCCGGCUAUUAUGUUCACACACGGAUUUUGCCGCGGGCAUCGUGUGUAAUUCAAACUACAGUACUCGUAAAUUCCGGCGACCGGCGUGUGCACUGUCCCCGUCGAUCUAGAUUCCGGCCGCCAAUAAAUACUACCUUGCUCACGUCGUCCCGCCUGCAUUCUCAUCUACAUCGUCCCCUCGCUUGCCUUCUCUCUCUCUCUCAAAUCUCUGCCAUGGCGCCGCCGGUCUGCCCACGCGCCGAUGAGGAGUCGCCUCCCCCCGAGGACGGUCACUCGAAUAGCAGCGACGAGGACCCCUACGCGCCGCCGGACGAGGUUGCAUCGGAUCCCCCAACUUUGGAUUGGUUUUGGGGCCUGUACAAUCUUUGUCUAUGGAAGUCGCUGCCGCCGGCUGAGAAAUCCAGGGAAGUGGCAUUCAAGAAGGAGAUGGUAGAGGAGGAAGCCAGGUACCAGGCGACUUGUGAAGCCCGUGAUGCUGCCUGGAAAAAGGAGGUGGCGGAGCUUUGGGGGCGGGUGCGUCGUUGUGCCGAGGAGGUGUACGAAGAUGGGUACUUCGCGAGGAAGAUCAUAGGCGUUGGGCGCCUCGUUGCUGCGUGGAGCUGGGCCGAUAAGCUCCAGUGUGCCACCAAGGAGGAGCUCCGGUUGGCGCCCAAGGAAAUGGCAAGAUCGUUCGCGCACAUCUGCCAGCAAGAGGCGGAUCGGUACGUCAAGCGCUGUGAGGUCGAGGAGGCAAAGUACUGCCUCCCCACUGAGAAGACACCGCGCACCAGGGAGCUCCUGACGAGGGGCUGCCGGAAUACUGGCCCCAGGAGGGAUUAUUAGUUUUAGUAUUGUUUGUUUUCAAUUUUAUGCAUUGUACCUAGUAGUUAAGUAUCAUCACAUAUAUGUGAUGAUAUUAUAUAUAUAUUCUGUGAUGAACUAAUGAACAAUUAAUAUAUAUAUAUCAUGAAUUCCAUUUUCCAUCUGUUUUUGUAUACUAAUUUGAAUCUAGUUGUUAUCAUCCACAUAUACAGAAUGGAAAGCGUAUAUACACAUAUUGAAACAGAACAUAUGAGAAUGGAAAACAGAGUACACAUAUUGAAACAGAGGAAUAAAAAGAGCAAUACUAUGAUUGCUGUGAAUACAUAGCUAUCCACGUUGAAACGACUCAACAAAAUAAAACGCGUCCAUGAGACCAUAACCAGCAGCCCUUGCCUAUGGUAGCUCUUGGCUCUGCCUGAACUCGUGCAGGCGUUCGCCCAAGCGAUCGACAUGCUUGCGGUACAUCUGGAGCACGAUCUCGAGCUCCAAGUGGGAUAUUUCAUGGGAGAUCACCAGCUUGAGGAUGCGACAGCCAUGUUCCUCUACUGCGCCCAGGUGAACACCUGGGCCAAGGAGGCGGUAGAGCCUACGGACCAGCACGUUGGCAUCCAGCGGGCCGCGGACAAGGCGAAUGGCGCCACCCAUGCGAAUGGCGCGGCAGACGUCUAGUGCAAGUACGGCGUGGCCAGCCUCAAGUGCAAGUACGACGCUGAGGGCCUCUACCCACUCGCGGCGAGGAAUGGGGGUAUUGACGGGACGUGUGCCUAGUUGCGACGCCGUGUCGACAGCAGGCAAACGCUGAUGGAUCCGCUCUUGCUGUGCGGUGCUCCAAUGGUCUCCCCGUGUGGUGAGCCGCAGCCUAUCGGCGCUGACGUGCCUAGCUUGCUCUACGGCACGCCAUCGAUCAUGUUGUGUGGCGAGCUGUAGCCUAUCAGCGCUGACAUGCCUAUCUUGAUCCGCAGCGCUCAAGCACCAUGCGCCAAAGGUCUUCUCAACCCUGGUGAUGACGCGCAUCACAGCAUCGUCCAUCGCGUUGCUGGGGAGCUUCUCGGCCUCGACAUGCCGUGGCGCCUGCUUGUUUUCCUCGUCGACGAGGUUGAUGGCAGAGGCGGCGCUUGGUGGGUUGGCAUGCUUGGAAAAGGUGGAUGUGCUACAGGCUGCACUUGUCGCCUCCGUGCGUCGUGCGCCACCUAGGUUUAUGUGCAAUAUCGCUGGGUGGCGGGAAACAGGUGAGGAAAUGGCGAGAAAUGGUGGUGUGUUCAUAAAACACUAUCAAUUAAUGGAAACUUAGCAUAGAAGGAACAUCGAGCUAGCACAAGAAGUAGAUGAUGAUCAGAUGAACACACACCACACUAGGGAACCCGUCGGCAAUGAAUUCAUCAAUCGCAAAGGGUUGAAUACUAGCAAGCGUCUGCCCUCAACACACACGGCUUAUUCCAUCACAAACAGGUCGGAUGGAUCAACUGUAUGCCACGUAUCACACAUUGUGAAAAAGUAAUGCGGUAGACCUUCUUUAACACGUGUUAAAAAACAAGGACCUCGAGAUUAAAUAAACUCAUGGGAUGGGUCAUAUCAGUCAUUUAAUUUGACAAAUACAACCCAUCCUAUCAGUUAAUUUAACAUCAACACAACUUUCCAUCCAGUCACCCAUCUGAUGGCUGCUCCAGCCUGAGCACACUUAACUUGAGAGUUCUCUUACAUGAGCUACUGGUGGAACAACUAGUCCUUGCUGAUAUAGGAUGCCUCUUCGCAUCCUUAUGGCGUAUCCGGAUGACUGCCCGUCUCCCAAUGGCCAAUAGAUGUUGUGUAGACAGAGCAUAUGACAUACGUCUUAUUAGAAGCAAUCGUCUGUGUUAUUAUCGGUCUUCGCACAUAUUUCUGAUUACAGACCUCUUUGCCGCAUAUCACACACAUCUUGUUAUAUUGAACCGUUUCUAUUCUCUUGUCUCAACGCAAACAGUUCAACCAAUUGAACCGCAUGUCGUAUAUCACACACACCUUGAUCUGGCUGACCGUUUCUUUUGUGUUGCCUAAUGAUAAACAGUUCAUCCGAGUGAACCGUAUGCUAUAUAUCGCACACACCUUCAUCUGGCUGACCGUUUCUUUUGUUCUUCCUCAUCGCAAAUUGUUAAUUGAACUGAACUGUAUGCCCUGCAUCGCACACGCAACUAAAAUCUGAACCGUGUUUGAUGCAUCCUCCAUCGCAAAUGUUUUACACCUUUUUUGACGGUUUUUACACUACCGUUUGCGAUUAUUGCAUUGCACACAGUUUCGUCGAAGGGUCUCUGAUCGUAGUGUUGCGUUAGCAGCAUGCUAUAGUAGUGAAUGGAGUAUGUACAAGAAGAGAAGGGGUACACCCACGUUCGUCGGAGACACGGUCGCUGCCUCGCACUAUAGCGUUUAGAACACAUAAAAAAGAAGCCAAUAAUAUUUAUUUUUUGUUAGCAUGUAUUAGCAGUUCACUACUUCACGUCUAAAGAAACCAAUCAGUGCAUGUAACCAUUCCUACUGAUUUAGUGGUCAACCAUGAAUAUGUUGUAAUUAAUGUAGAUUAAAGUUUGAAUAAUUAUGUAAACUACGAGACAGAGUACAUUUCCCCACUGAUCAUUUGUCUUGGUUGAUGAGAUUUCAAAUUUAAGCCCUAUAAACCGAAAAUGAGGGAGUAGUUAAAUUUUUUGGUCAAACUUUGACAAAAAAUAUAUGACGUGGCGUAAAAACCUAGACGGAGGUAGUAGUACGAGAUAUGAUGGCACACUGACUUAGGCCGAAUACAAGUGCCCACUCAUUAUUGGGAGAGAGCAAAGUGUACAUACAAAGUAAUUAAAAUUGAAUUUCUUGAAAAUAUUUAAAAUUGGAGAAUGGUGCAGCCCACCUUUUUGAUAUUUUGACCGUGUGUGGUUCAGUUGUUGUUCACUUCAGAGGGUCAUGUACCACACGUCAACUAUAGUAAGCAUGACCGGGAGGCGUGCAACAUUAAUUGCGAGUUGACUCCUUCGGGCGUUAAAUUUUCUUCAUGUAUUACCAUUGCCCUAUUAUUUUUCUUCACUACGUUAAAUAAAGAGUUCCACUUCGUGCACAAUUUAAAAUGAUUUUGAUAUAGAGAGAAAGAAAACCACUCCAACUAUAAAUGCUGCAGCCUCGGCUCUUGUUUUCUAGGGUUUGCUCUCUUCACACUCUCUCUCCACUAUAUAUAUACACGCUGGAGCCUCAGCGCUUGUAGUUGCUCUCUUCACACUCUCUCACCCUCUCCAGAUCUAAACAAGACCACGUUGGCCUCUCUCUCUCCCCCUCACUACUAGUCAAAGAGUCAGCAGGAUCCCGUCCGCCGGGGAAGGGAAGGAGGCUUAACGCUGUCGCCACCGGCGAGGGAGGGAAUCCACUACCGGCGUAGCUAUUCUCUUCCACCUAGCAGUGGCACGGGAGGGCCUCCGACCCCUUCUUCCUCGCUGUCGUACAUAGUGUGGGCAGAUAGGCCUCCGCCCCCCACUGAGCCACACCCCGAGAACCUUAAGGUAUAAUUUACUUAAUCCACAUGCAUUGCUCUAGCUGCAUGUGGAUUUUUUCUGCUUCUGCACUCGAAUCUAGGUGUUGGAUCAAAUAGGGAAGUAGUGGGGAAAGUUGUAUAGCAUGAAUCUAGGACGUGGUUCAAAGAGGAAAGGAAGGGGGAAGUAGUACAGACUAGCUAUUUAGCACCUAUGUUGGUUGAAAAGGGAAAACAGUGACAAAUGCAGUACACACAUCUGUAACGGACUGAUCUUUCUAUGGGUGGGGGACAAGGCUGUAGAGUUUGAGCAAGACUAGAUUUGCUGCCCUCACAUAGGGAAAGGUGUCUAAAGAUAACAAAACUGGUACCAACACAUAUAUGCUCCUUGGUUGUUUGUUCUUUGUUGCAACAGACUGUGCAUCACCCCUUUAUACAUCGGUAGAUGCACAUGGUGCUGGUGCGUCCGCUGUCCCAUACAACUCUUUAGCUGUUGUUAAUCUAAUAAUGCCGCUGGAAAGUUGAAGCAAUGCCACAGUUAAAAGCAAAUUGCAUGCUUAACGAAUUUUAUUGUUAAUAUAAUCUCUCUAUUAAUAUGAACCAAUGCCACUGUUUGAGAAAUGCUAUUUUCUUGCUUUCUUUCCCAUUUAGAUAAGUAAGAUGCUUCUUUUUGUGGGAUUUUGUGCCAUCCACCAUUAUUGACCAGUAAUUGUUUCCUUUGUACCUCUGUGUAAACAGGGUUAUCUACAUCACCUCGUUGCUAUUGUGACCUUUUGUUGCACUACACAAAACACUUUUGCUUUAAGAGUGUUUUGUACAGUUCAACCAAAAUGUCACAUCGACAACGUUGCUUGAUUGCGUGAUCUUAGUGGAAUUGCACAAGAGGAGAUCUGACUUCCUAUCUUUGUUGGCAAAUUUUUUUCAGAUCUUCUUCUUGUGAGUUGUUUGAACUCCGCAUCACGAGAGGUUAGUAAUGGCCUUCUUCCACAUGAUUGUGCAGUGUGCUUUCAUAUGUUGUGCUACUUAUACGGUAAUGUUGCUUGAUUUUAGUGAACUGCACAAAAGGAGACCCGACUUCCAAUCUUUAUGUGCACCGUAAUAUCCCAUUGAGGUAAGGUAAUGAUAUUUCACAACUCUUAGCCUGUAUUUUGCUAUUGUCAUUAGAAAAGUAAUGUAGUUGUUUAGUGCUAUACUUGUGCUCCCUAAUUGACGUGCCAAAUCUUACAUUGAAGGCGAAGCUUGUCUGUUAUUGAACCAAGUGAUGAAGGGGAAGAACAAGUGGAAGAAGAACAAAAAUCAACUCCCGGUGCUGUAAUGAAGCACUAGAACUGUGAUGACACAAGUAAUGAUAUAGUUUUGCAUCUUAAUUUAUUGCUAUGGCUAGAACUAGCAAUUGUUAUGCCACUAUGAUUUGAUGCCGCUCUUAAUGUAAUAUGUAAUUAUCUCUACUUAUGCAAACAGGGAUCUUGUUUGAAGAUAACAUAUAUUUUAGUGGAACUGCUCAAGAAGAUGUUGGAAACAUUAAACUAAUCGAGGAGUUUAUAGUAAGCAUGGCAACCAUAGUAGAUAAUAAUAGAUGGUUCUGGAGAAGUGCAUCAUCUGCAUGCUCUACACAAAAGCCUCCUAACAAAGGUUGGUAUCGGCCCACGGAUUUCAUCUAUAUGAUUGAGCUUUGUCAUCUCUAUUGGUGUUAUGCUACUGUUUAGCUACUGUCAGGAGAAAGUGGUAUUGUUUCACAUGUUAAUCUAAGGCUGCUAAUAAAUUGAUGCAUCGGUUUGCCAUCGUUAUAGCCACUGAUAAAAUGAAGUAAUAAUACAGUUCAAGUCGAGUUGCUGUGGUAUCAUAUCAUUUCCUAUGAGGACAAUGAGGAUGCAUCUCUUUGUGACUAUACAUUUCAUCAGUUGCUUCCUUUGUUAAUGUAAUGGUUGUUUUAAAUAUUUCCCUUUCUUUUUUCGAGAAAACAUGGAUGCUAGCAUUUAGUUGCUCUCUUGUCUUUGCACAACAGGAUCCUCCUCCUUUGAAGAAGAAUGCGGAGUACGUGGACUGCCUAGUUUCGAUUAUGCUAGGAUGAAGAAGCCCAGUCUAUCUUCUCAUCAGAAGGAGCAGUUGAAGGAUGGUCACUUUACUCCCCACAAGACCAAACUAACUUCAGCUCAGACGGACUCACAGAUUUCCAUCUUUUUUGCUGUGAUGGGCAAAUAGAAUGUUGUUCUACGAUUCUUUCUGCUGAGUUCCAUUUUUUUAAUUGUGUGCUCUGUAUGGACCAUGUAGGUGUGUGUGUAAACUAUAAAUUCAUAAUACAGUUUGCUUUACUAAUCACUUUUUUGUAUUUAUGCAAACAGGGGUGCUCAGCUCGAUUUCAAUGGGAACUGCACAAAAUGUUCUGAUGGUUCGUGCCCAUUAUACUUCAUCAUGCACAAUACAUCAAAUAUUCUCGAAUCAUUCAUUUCCACCACUAGCCACAAAAUUAGCUACAAGAAAGGAGGUGCCGAUAUGUUCAACGCGUUGCAACAUAUAAAGGCGAAAUCAUGCAAGCUACGCGUGAAUUUGGUUGAUUUUGGUGGAACUGCACAAAAAGAACAGCUGAUUUAUUUAGCACGAGGUGCCAUGUUAAUGUCCGAACUGAUUGCAAACCCCGCCGAUUCCACAAUCAUAGGCAUUUGAUAUUUUCGAAUGGGAAAAUCUUGUCAAAGUUUGCUCAUUGAUGUACGCAAAAAGACACACAUUUGAUAUUUUGGAAUGGGACAACAUUGUCAAAAUUUUCUCAUUGAUGUUAGCAAGAAGACAUGUGUUUGAUAUUUUCGAAUGGGACGCCCUUUGUUGUCAGUAGCAUCGAUCAAUUUUUCUUUAUUCUUUAGUUGUGAAGUAAAUAUUGGCUCUGACAUGUGAAUCGUUGAGAUGCAUAAUCAUCGAUUGUUUUGAAUGUUCUCCAUGAAUUGCUAGGCCUAUGAGUUUGAUUGCAAUAUACAAGCACGCUAAAAAGCUGCUCAAACUUUUUGUACUCCCUCUAUUCCUUUUUACUUCGCAUAUUAGAUUUCUUUCAAGUCAAAGUUUGCAAAGUUUGACCAAAUAUAUAUUAGAAAAUGUCAACAUCUACAAUACCAAAUAUACUAUAUACUAUGAGAGUACAUUUCAUAAUGAAUCUAAAAAUGUUGAUUUUACAUUAUGAAUGUUGAUACUUUUUUCUAUAAGACUGGUCAAAGUAGAGAUACUUUGACUUCAAACAAAACUUAUAUGCGGACUAAAAAGGACCGAAGGGAGUAUGUGUGAAACUACUGCAAACAAGGUGAUCACCGUGCGUCCUUGGAAUAAUGCUAGUACGUAUUGUUUUUCAUGUUCAUCCAAUGCCAGUGAUACAAGAAUUCGAACUAAUCGAACUAAAUUCAUUCAUACAUGGUCGGAUUUCAUAUAAACAUGCCGGAUUUCAUUACAUUUCAUACAUUCUUCAACUAAAAACGGGUGCGCUGGAGGUAUAACUAAUUAAUGUAAUAUAUGAUCUCUGGCGCCCAUUUCCCAUGUCCGGCUGAGCCGAACAGAAGCUUCUUCUCCAGCACAGCUCUCCGGCUCCACGUCGGCGCCAAGGAGCUAAUCGGUCGUCAAUGUUCAACCCUCCAAGCUUGGCUUCAACCGGAGGGCAGCAGCGGUGGCCUUACAUGGACCCGAGCGGCGGUGACCUACCGUGUUCUACUCUUCCUCGUUUUCUGUGUGGUGCAGCUUCGUUGGCAGCAAGGCGGGGCCUCGACGGAACCGGCGAUGUUCUCUACCUCAUUGUUGGUGGGGCGGUGCCUCGGCGGAGCGGGGGAAAUCCUCCCUCGUGUUGCUGGCAGGGCGGGGCAUCGAUGAAGCCGACGAUGUCCUAUGCCUUGUAGUUGGCGGGGCGGGGCGUCGCAGAAGUUGGCGAAGUCCUCCGCCUCGGUGCCGACGGGGCGGGGCCUCGGCAGAGCGGGCAUUGUCCUCCGCCUCAUCGUCGGUCUCGCCAAACAGCGCCUCGCCCGCUUCAUCGCUCUUGUUGUAGGCGGCCACAACCUCCACCACCCGCAUGCUGUACCACCAGCGCAAGAGGCGGCUCUAGCGUGCAAAGCGGCACGACUCGAGCAGCGCCUCCUGCUCCGCCCGCUCCGCGGUGAUCUGUUCAUCCGUGAAGGAAAUAUGCCCUAGAGGCAAUAAUAAACAUGUUAUUUAUAUUUCCUUAUAUCAUGAUAAAUGUUGAUUAUUCAUGCUAGAAUUGUAUUAACCAGAAACUUAGUACAUGUGUGAAUACAUAGACAAACAGAGUGUCACUAGUAUGCCUCUACUUGACUAGCUCGUUGAAUCAAUGAUGGUUAUGUUUCCUAACCAUAGACAUGAGUUGUCAUUUGAUUAACGGGAUCACAUCAUUAGAGAAUGAUGUGAUUGACUUGACCCAUCCGUUAGCUUAGCACGAUGAUCAUUUAGUUUGUUGCUAUUGCUUUCUCCAUAACUUAUACAUGUUCCUAUGACUAUGAGAUCAUGCAACUCUCGAAUACCGGAGGAUCACUUAGUGUGCUAUCAAACGUCACAACGUAACUGGGUGACUAUAAAGAUGCUCUAUAGGUGUCUCCGAUGGUGUUUGUUGAGUUGGCAUAGAUUGAGAUUAGGAUUUGUCACUCCGAGUAUCGGAGAGGUAUCUCUGGGCCCUCUCGGUAAUGGACAUCACUAUAAGCCUUGCAAGCAAUGUGACUAAUGAGUUAGUUACGGGAUGUUGCAUUACGGAACGAGUAAAGAGACUUGCCGGUAAUGAGAUUGAACUAGGUAUUAAGAUACUGUCGAUCGAAUCUCGGGCAAGUAACAUAUCAAUGACAAAGGGAACAACGUAUGUUGUUGUGCGGUUUGACUGAUGAUAGAUCUUCAUAGAAUAUGUAGGAACCAAUAUGAGCAUCCUGGUUCUGCUAUUGGAUAUUGACCGAAGAUGAGUCUCGGUCAUGUCUACAUAGUUCUUAAACCCGUAGGGUCCACACGCUUAACGUCCGGUGACGACCGGUAUUAUGAGUUUAUGUGUUUUGAUGUAGGAUGAAAGAACGAAAGAAUCUGUAUGAUAACGAAAGAGAAGAACUCUUGAACGAACCACCGUAAGAAUUAGAAAUGAAUGAAGUAAAGGGAUGAAUCACCGGUAAGAAUUAGAGACCGAAAGAAGAUACUUGAGGAAAUCUAGAUACAUGAGAACGAAGAGAUCACGAGCUGAUUAGGGAUCACUUGAACGAUGCACCGGUAAGAUUUGGAGAAUGUGAGCUGGAAGGUGAAAUGAAUAAAUCUUCUGAAAUGAUGGGCUCCGAAGAAUCAGACUGAAAAGACUCCUGAAUUGCUCCGGAAGGAUGAAAAGAAUUCUCACAAUCGCAAAUGAUUAUGAGAGGAUGGCACGAAGCUAGAGCCAUGAAUCUUGAGAGAACGGGCCAAGAUUUGAGAGAAACGCUUCUUCGAUCUUCAAAUGUUGAUAAUGACGAUGAGAAGCACCACCAAGAAUUGUGGAGAUACUCUAGGAGAAUGAAUAAUGAAGGAGUUGAGCCAACGAUGAAAAGAAUUUGACAGAUCUUGGAGAAACACAUAUGACUGAUGAUGAUUCAUUCUUACGUCAAACUUUAGAAGAUUUGAGAAUAGCUCCGGGAAAAAUUAGAAGAGUCAGGUAAGAUCCUGGGAAAAGACCUGUGGGUUAGGGCCCACUCAAAAGAAACACCGUAGAACGAUUUAAAAGAGAGAAUGCACCGGUUGAGUUACAUGGCUUGAAUGAGAUAACAACCUCGAAAUAGGUUGAACUGAUCUUGAAUGAAAAGACGAGACUUCUGAGAUAUCUUGAGCACUCCAGGACAAUAGAAUAGAGAGAGGUGAAUGAUUAAGAAUUGCACCGGCAUGAGAAAGCAUUGAAAUGAGGAAAGGGUAUGAUCAACAAAGCUUGACUUGAAACCACCGGAGAAGAAAAGAAUGCAAAAUAUUGAACUUGUAGCUUCCUUAGCAUCUUCAUGAGAAUCACCGGAUAAGAACAUGAAGGAAAUGAAUGGAGGGACUUCACAUGAAUAAAAGGAUACUUGAUUAAAGAAUCCGAGUCCUUGAAGAAAAAGGGUGGGUGGGCGGGAAAAAACAAAAGGCAGCUUGGGACGAAUGAAACAAACAACAUUGAGAAGACUUGGAGUUGAUCUUACGUAUGAGACAAAUGAUAGGAUCAUCUUGAAGAGAAUCGCACCGGCUGACAAGGAUUGACAUGACAAACUCGAUGAUCGAGAAGGAUUAUCAUCCACAUAGAAAUGUGAGGACAUCACUUAGGAAAAGGUAUGGAAUGAACAUUUGACUUUGAAGCAACUCGAAUACCACAACUCAAAACAAAACCAAGGAUUGGCUUGCUUAAUAAGCCGGAACAAACAUAUGAUAGAGAUUUCGUCCGAAGUUUUUGUGGUGGGGCCUACACGGGCUCGAUCGUACAACACCAUCAUGUACAAGGCAGUGCACAUGACAUACGAAGCAUCCCCGAGUCAGCAUAGCCAAGGACUCUUUAAGACACAACGAGACCACUGUAAAACCAACCGUGGAUAGGCGGACCACUAGACGUCGAACCCCAAUUUCAUAUCAUACAUCCGUCGGAAAGAUAUCCUAAGAGCUACUUGAAUUCCCACUUAUAAACUCCCGAAACUCUCCCGGUUAUGCAAUCAGGUGUUGGGGAUACAGGGGAAGCAUAAUAUCUCACCCAAAACUAGCAAAUCCUACAUCCAGCUGUAUCCAUCCUUCAACACAUAACCAAGAAACCUUCAGAAAUUGUUUACCUCAACCUUCGAAAAGCAUCCGUUAUACGAGUUAUGGAAAUACCCCGAACUCCUGCCCAGUACUGGGUGGCGUCGAGGUUAUCUCACCAAUAACUGCAUAAAAGAGAUUUUCGAUGUCGGCGAAACUCAGGUAUUCCAGAACUGCAACGAUAAAAUUGCGACGACAACACCUCGGAGCUCAACUCCCCGGAACACUGCCACAAGCCCUAAAUGUCAGGAGGCACCAAGAACAAUGUUCUCGUCACAAAACCAUUGGAAUGAUUCCAAGAUACCCGCGUGAUCCUAAAAAAAAUUUAGUGAAAAUUUGAGAAGAGAAGGGUCAAAACUCUACGUCAGGAUGCCUCACCAGAGCGACGAAGGGACUGAGGAGUAAAAAGAAUCCUACUCUCCGAUAUAUAUAAAUCCUAAAUGACUCAAAACAUUUUUUCCUAGACUCAACAACGCCAACGAUUCAAUCAAGCAGGGGCUCCUAAGUCGGGGAAGGCUCUGAUACCAACUUGUCACACCCUCGAUGCGGCUAUAUCUCCCACGUGUCGGAGCACGACUUAGAGGCAUAACCGCAUUGAAGGCAAUGUCGCAAGAAGGGUAAUCUUUACACAUCCCAUGUACUGAAUAAGAAAAGAGGUACAUAGUUGGCUUACAAUCGCCACUUCACACAAUACAUGAAUAUAGCAAUGCAUCAUCCAGAUACAAUGAAGGUCCGACUACGGAACCAAAAUAAAAGAAGACUACCCCUAAUGCAACAGAUCCCCGAUCGUCCCAACUGGGCUCCACUACUGAUCAACUGAAACAAAACAACACGAUGAACAAGAUCUUCAUCGAGCUCCUCCUUGAGCUCGGUUGCGUCACCCGCACGGUAUCAUCGGCACCUGCAAGCUGGUUUUGGAAGUAUCUAUAAGCCACGGGGACUAAACAAUCUCACACCCUCGCGAUCAAGACUAUUUAAGCUUAUGGGUAAGGAAAAAGGUAUAAGGUGGAGCUACAGCAAGCGACUAGCAUAUUUGGUGGCUAACAUACGCAAAUGAGAGUGAGAAUAGAAGGCAAAAGCACGGUCGAGAAACUAUGAUCAAGAAGUGAUCCAAGACUACUUACGCCAAUCAUAACUCCAACACCAUGUUCACUUCCCGGACUCCGCCGGAAAGAGACCAUCAUGGCUACACAUGCGGUUGAUGCAUUUUACUUAAGUUAAGCUUUAGGUUUUCUACAACCGGACAUUAACAAAUUCCCAUCUGCCCAUAACCGCGGGCACGGCUUUCGAAAGUUCAAAACCCUGUAGGGGUGUCCCAACUUAGCCCAUCACAAGCUCUCACGGUCAACGAAGGAUAUUCCUUCUCCCAAGACAAUCCGAUCAGACUCAGCAUCCCGGUUACAAGACAUUUCGACAAUGGUAAAACAAGACCAACAAAGCCACCCAGAUGUGCCGACAAAUCCCGAUAGGAGCUGCACAUAUCUCGUUCUCAGGGCACACCGGAUGAGCGAGACGUCGAGUAGGCCAGCCCAGAGUUGCCCCUGGUAGCCCCGGACAUUGGUCGGUUUGGACCAACACUUAGAGAAGCACUGGCCCGGGGGUUUAAAUAAAGAUGACCCUUGAGCCAGCCGACCCAAGGGAAAGAAAAGCCUAGGUGGCAAAUGGUAAAACCAAUUUUGGGCCUUGCUGGAGGAGUUUUAUUCAAGGCGAACUAUCAAGGGGUUCCCAUUAUAACCCAACCGUGUAAGGAACGCAAAAUCAAGGAACAUAACACCGGUAUGACGGAAACUAGGGUGGCAAGAGUGGAACAAAACACCAGGCAUAAGGCCGAGCCUUCCACCCUUUACCAAGUAUAUAGAUGCAUUAAUUAAAUAAGAGAUAUUGUGAUAUCCCAACUACAAUCCAUGUUCCAACAUGGAACAAACUCCAAUCUUCACCUGCAACUAGCAAUGCUAUAAGAGGGGCUGAGCAAAGCGGUAACAUAGCCAAACAACGGUUUGCUAGGACAAGGAGGGUUAGAGGUUUGACAUGGAAAUAAGGGAGGCACGAUAAGCAAGUGGUAGGUAUCGCAGCAUAGGCAUAGCAAAAGCGCGAGCAACUAGCAAGCAAAGAUAGAAGUGAUUUCAAGGGUAUGGUCAUCUUGCCUGCAAAGUACUCUGAGAAGACGAAAGCUUGAUCCUCGAAAGCGUAAUCAAUGGAUCCUCGAACACGAACUCGUCUCCAGGCUCUACCCAAAGCAAGAACACAAGCAAAGGGAGACACAAUCAACCACGUGCAAUGCACAAACAACAUGAUGCAAAACAUGGCAUGAUAUGCAGGAUGCGAUAUGCGAUGCAUAUGCAUGAUUCAAAAAGGAAUGAUUGAACCUGGCCUCAACUUGGAAAACCAAGAGUGCCACUGGAAAGGGGAGUUGAUUUCGGUUGAAAUCGAUAUAAAGAUCACCGGAAUCGGAUGCACGGUUUGGAAAUGGCAAACAAAACAAAUAUGGCACCGAUCUGCGAUUAACAACACGAGACCCUCUAAAUGCAUCAAGAACAACAAGCUACAGCACUCCAACAUAGCAACAAAAUACAUGGCAGGGAUCCACUCAAGAUGCUUGACAAAAGAUGAACACUGAGCUAUGGCUAAUUCACUCAAUAACAGGUUCAAACAAGCAUGGCAAAAGUGCAAAAGAUAUCAGGUUACAGACUUUCAGGAAUUUAACAUCAGGAAGCAAUGUUUAGAGCAAGGUAACAACAUGCUACAUGAACAUAUCAUGGCAAAGCAAGGCAUGGCAUGAAGCUACUCAAAGCAUACAACAAAAGUCCCUUACUGACCAUCAGCCAAAAGGGAUCAGAAAAUACAAUGGCAACCAUGUGAACAUAGCAAUUAUCGUUAACAGAUUCAGACUUAGCAGAAAACUGGAACAUGGCAAAACAGAUAUCAAGUAGGCAUGUUUACGGGAUCGAUGCACUCACUACGAGGCAUUACAUGACAAACUAAGCAUACACCCAGCAAGUAGACAUGGCAUAGAAGCUAAACAUGGCAAUAACAACAAUAUAGCAUGCAUGGAUCAUCUACAACAACCUCGGCAAAAUUGCUAAACAUGUUAACAAUCUGCCAGGAACAUUUUAUAGCAAAAGUAGAGCUCGAUUGGCUCAAGCUAGGGUGCUCCAUAAAUGCAAACAAAGACAGGGAUGGAUAGAGCACCACAAUAUCUACAAAACAUCCUUACUGAUCAUGCUCAAAAGAGGCACGGAUCACUUGGUAACAACAUGAACACAUGGCAUAAAAAUUACAGCAGGAAAAGGACUUAGUGAAAUUCUAAGUCCCUGAAAUCAGCAACAUUAAGUAAGCUACUUUGCAUGCUUGUGCUAGUCACCACAGAGAUCACAAAAAUACAUGGCAUACACCCCUGUAAAGAUGGCAUGGCAUACUUCAAAACUCAUGAAGAGCUCAAGAUCAUAGCAUGCACACAUUAAUCAUCUCAAAAAUGACAAAAGUGCAUUUACUGAUAAUAAUCUGAAACUAACAUCACAUAGCCCUCUUCCAACAGCUUUUGGGCAUCAAGAUGAGCUCAAACGAACAUGAUGCAAAGAGAUGAAAUGAAGUACUUGUCGAGACGAACAUUUCGAUAUGCUACACGCACAAAUCGGAGCAACGGUGAUGAAGUUAUGACAAGAUGAAGGAGGCAUAAAAAUAUGCAGAUCUCAGGACUUAGCAAAAAAAAC
rnacentral:lncRNA from 1 species